rnacentral:rRNA from 1 species
AUAAGCUGGAGGAAGGUGGGGAUGAUGUCAAGUCAUCAUGGCCUUUAUUUCCAGGGCUACACACGUGCUACAUUGGCCGGUACAGAGGGCUGCGAUACCGCGAGGUGGAGCGAAUCCCAAAAAGCCGGUCUCGGUUCGGAUUGGAGGCUGAAACUCGCCUCCAUGAAGGCGGAGUUGCUAGUAAUCCCGGAUCAGCAACGCCGGGGUGAAUACGUUCCCGGGUCUUGUACACACCGCCCGUCACACCACGAAAGCGGGCAACACCCGAAGCCGGUGACCCAACCCUCUGGGAGGGAGCCGUCGAAGGUGGGGCUCGUGAUUGGGGUGAAGUCGUAACAAGUGUAGCCGUACCGGAAGGUGCGGCUGGAUCACCUCCUUAAUCUAGAUGCAUCGCGAGUCAGCC